GUGGGACCCAAUGGGGUCAAUGGGACUCAAUGGGGUCAAUGGGGUCAUGGUGGGACCCAAUGGGGUCAUUGGGGUCACAGUGGGACCCAAUGGGGUCAAUGGAACUCAAUGGGGUCAAGGAGACCCAAUGGGGUCAAUGGGGUCACGGUGGGACCCAAUGGGGUCAGUGGGACUCUAUGGGGUCAAUGGGGUCAUGGUGGGACCCAAUGGGGUCAUUGGGGUCACAGUGGGACCCAAUGGGGUCAAUGGAACUCAAUGGGGUCAAGGAGACCCAAUGGGGUCAAUGGGGUCACGGUGGGACCCAAUGGGGUCAGUGGGACUCUAUGGGGUCAAUGGGACUCAAUGGGGUCAAUGGG